rnacentral:lncRNA from 10 species
UUGCCCUGCUGGGUUUUGGACUUGCUUGGAGCUUUUUACUCUUAUUUUGAUUCUCUCUCCCUUUUGGAAUGGGAAUGUCUGUCCUAUACCUGUAACACCAUUUUAUCUUGAAAGUGGAUAACUUGCCUCAAUUUCGGAGGUUUACAAGUAAGACUCUGGAAUUUGGACUUUUGAGCUGAUGCUGAUGCUGAAAUGAGUUUUUGGGGCUAUGAGGAUGGAAAAAAACGUAUAUGUAUUUAAAGUUGUGAGAAAGACAUAAGUUUUGGAGAUCCAAGGGCAGAACACUAUGACGUGAAAGUUUGUUCCCUCUGAAAUUCAUGUUGCAUGAACUUUGUCCCCAGUGUGGCAGUAUCGAGAGGUAAGGCCUUCAAGAGGUAAUUGGAUCACGGCCCUCAGGAGGGAAUUUAUCAAUUAAUGGAUUAAUGGAUUAAUGAAUUGUCAUGGGAGAGAUAUUAGUGGUUUCAAAAGCAGAGAAAGAGAGACCUGAGCUAGCACACUCCUCCCCUUCACCAUGCGAUGCCCUUCACUACCUUGCGACUCUACAGCGAGUCACCACCAGCAAUGAGACGCUCAUCAGAUAUGGAUCCUCAACCUUGAAAUGCUCAUCUCCAUACUGCUUUGAAAUAAUCAUUAAAACUAUACAUUUAACAAGAUCGGAGUCAUAUGGUGCGCAUCUGCCAGCACAGCAAUAAUACAAGAGGACAUCACCAAGGGAAUGAGCCUAGACCAAGAAAGGUACUACAAACUGGGUCUGAAGCACUGUGAACAGGGUGGAAGAAGAGCAAAACAUAAAACCUGUUUCAGAGAAUGAGUGACAAGUUUUGUUGGGUCAAAUACAGCGACUGCUCAUGUA